CAUGCAAGUCGAGCGGUAGAGAGGAGCUUGCUUCUCUUGAGAGCGGCGGACGGGUGAGUAAUGCCUAGGAAUCUGCCUAGUAGUGGGGGAUAACGUUCGGAAACGGACGCUAAUACCGCAUACGUCCUACGGGAGAAAGUGGGGGAUCUUCGGACCUCACGCUAUUAGAUGAGCCUAGGUCGGAUUAGCUAGUUGGUGGGGUAAAGGCUCACCAAGGCGACGAUCCGUAACUGGUCUGAGAGGAUGAUCAGUCACACUGGAACUGAGACACGGUCCAGACUCCUACGGGAGGCAGCAGUGGGGAAUAUUGGACAAUGGGCGAAAGCCUGAUCCAGCCAUGCCGCGUGUGUGAANAAGGUCUUCCGAUUGUAAAGCACUUUAANUUGGGAGGAAGGGCAGUAAGUUAAUACCUUGNUGUUUUGAGGUUAUCAACACACAAAAAAGCGGCUAUAUCUGUGCCAACAUCCCCGAUGAAACUAGGGGGGCAAGCGGUUAUCCGAGUUAC
rnacentral:rRNA from 1 species